GACGAACGCUGGCGGCGUGCUUAACACAUGCAAGUCGAACGGAAAGGCCCCUUCGGGGGUACUCGAGUGGCGAACAGGUGAGUAACACGUGAGUAACCUGCCCUUGACUUCGGGAUAACUUCAGGAAACUGGGGCUAAUACCGGAUAGGAAUCCUUGCUGCAUGGUGGGGGUUGGAAAGCUUCGGCGGUUUUGGAUGGACUCGCGGCUUAUCAGCUUGUUGGUGGGGUAGUGGCUUACCAAGGCUUUGACGGGUAGCCGGCCUGAGAGGGCGACCGGCCACAUUGGGACUGAGAGACGGCCCAGACUCCUACGGGAGGCAGCAGGGGGGAAGAUUGCACAAUGGGCGGAAGCCUGAUGCAGCAACGCCGCGUGCGGGAUGACGGCCUUCGGGUUGUAAACCGCUUUCAGCAGGGGCGAAGCUUGUGGUGACGGUACCUGCAGAAGAAGCACCGGCUAACUACGUG
rnacentral:rRNA from 1 species